rnacentral:rRNA from 1 species
AUAGCGUAUAUUAAAGUUGUUGCAGUUAAAAAGCUCGUAGUUGAAUUUCAGGCCUGGCCGGGCGGUCAGCUUAACGGCGUGCACUGUCUGGCUGGGCCUUACCUCUUGGUGAGCUGGCGUGUCCUUUAUUGGAUGCGUCGGGGAACCAGGACUUUUACCUUGAGAAAAUUAGAGUGUUCAAAGCAGGCAAUUGCCCGAAUACAUUAGCAUGGAAUAAUAGAAUAGGACGUGCGGUUCUAUUUUGUUGGUUUCUAGAGUCGCCGUAAUGAUUAAUAGGGAUAGUUGGGGGCAUUAGUAUUGAGUUGCUAGAGGUGAAAUUCUUGGAUUUACUCAAGACUAACUACUG